ACCUGGGUGGCUCAGUUGGUUGGGUGUCUGACUUUGGCUCAGGUCAUGAUCUCGUGGUCCGUGGGUUCGAGCCCCACAUCAGGCU
rnacentral:tRNA from 1 species